GAUCCUGGCUCAGGAUGAACGCUAGCUACAGGCUUAACACAUGCAAGUCGAGGGGCAGCAUGGUCUUAGCUUGCUAAGGCCGAUGGCGACCGGCGCACGGGUGAGUAACACGUAUCCAACCUGUCGUCGUACUCUUGGACAGCCUUCUGAAAGGAAGAUUAAUACAAGAUGGCAUCAUGAGUCCGCAUGUUCACAUGAUUUAAAGGUAUUCCGGUAGACGAUGGGG
rnacentral:rRNA from 1 species